AUGAACUGGAAAAGAAGAGAGGGGAAAAUAAUAAAAAGAGGAAAUUGGUUUUCACAACACACUCAAAGCCUGAGUAGCAGAGGAGAACUUUAAUUAUCUCCAGUCACAAAGAGAGACAGGAAAUUUGGACUUUUAAUUAGCCAUUUGGAGUGCAGUUGGAUAUUUUUUUAGCUAGAUAAUUUAAACGCGAAUAAUUCAAGUCUGACUAAAUGAAAGUCACAUAAUCAGAAUGCAGAUAAUUGAAUUUCUACUGCAUUCAUUAAUUCAGUGUGGAGGGAAACGUCUGUUCAUCAAGGCAAACUUGUGAAUUGCUUCUUCUACAGAGUACUUAGUCUGCCCAGAAACACACGCCUCGAUGUCUUCUGAAUUCAAAUGGCUCUGCAAGAAGAGGUGAAGGCUGCUAUCUGAAAGCAAGAGUGCGUUCUGCAGGACCCUAUGUAAAAGAUGAAAGGAGAAAUAAUCAGUGGACAGGGAUGGACAGAGGGUGGCAGAGAGAAAAGCAUUAGAAAUGUGGCAACGAAGUCAUUUCUCUAGUAUGGCAAACUUUGCAUCAGUUAUAGACUCUGCCUAGUAAAGGGAUGAAAGCAUAUGUUAACUUUUAUUCAAUUAUUUGGAAAUUUAAGUAAGUAAAAACAUGAAGCUAAUAGUUAAGAACAUCUGUUAAAAGAAUAACUUCAAGGACAUUUCUUCAAUUUAACCAUCUGUUAUGACCAUGUGGAUUAAUUAUGGAAAUAUUUUGCUUAUAUAGUCAUAGAAAUUUAUUCUACUUAAAAAAAAAUUUACUGCCAAGCAGCACGUCAAUUCUGUGAUCUUUAUUGGCUAGGCUGUCAUGAAACAUCAAAACUUUCAACUACUAUUAAAAAUUAUAUUAAAAAGUCAGUACAUUUCUCAGCAUGUUUUACACUUUAAAAUUUUACAAGUAUACUUAUAUACAUCUUUACAAGGGCUCAGUUGAGAGGUGGCUUUUUUUUUUUGAAUACUUAAGAUUGACUAGACAUUUCUCCAAAAGCUUCAGCAGUAUUGCGUAUCUAUGUUGUUAAAAUGAGUCACUAAAUAAAAUUGCUCCCAGCUAGUUUUACCAUACAUAUCUUUCAAAUAUGGUAAUUUUGUAAUCAGUACCUACUAGCUUUCCGACAUUCAGGAUCAAAGUUUACAAAGAGAGUACAGAUUUCAGCUAGGGCAUCAGAACUACAUGGAGAAUUUAAAAACCAUCAUGGAGCAAAAUCUACAUAUGCUCAAAUUCAUAUUAUCCGUGAAUGUGCCUUUUUCCAAAAUGCAUGUCUUGGAACAGGAAAAUAAGUCAAAGAACAUUCUGUAUUUAAAUAAAAACUGGUUUCAGCUUUUUAGCCAAGAUUUUGAUGUAUGAUCAUUUAGUCUCUAUUAACAGUUCAAUAAUGAUAUAACAUGAGACACUAAGACCAGAUAGAUGUAGGGGACAGAACUGAAACACUGAAAUUCAAGUAUAUUUCUGCCCAACAUGGGAUUUUUCCUACAGAGAGCUAUGAAAAACAGAUUAUGUAUUCCAGACCAAAUGAAACUUACCUUAUAUUCUGCAUUUUAAAAUAAGUAAUGAGACACGUAAAUCUCUUUUGGCCAUUCAUACCAAUUUACUUAAAAUCCCCAAUACUUCCUUCUCUUCCAAACAAAAUAGAAUUAUUUCUUCAAGAAGGCAAAUGUCUAAAAAUGCACAGUAUCGAAACCAAAAUCUAGCUGUCGCCUUUGCUUCAAAUAGGCUUACAAAUGUAGUAUGAGAAAAUACUCUUUACUGACCUACUGAAAGGAAAAGUAAAACCUUUGUGCUUUUUUAAAAGGCAGAAUCUCAAGCAAAGCAGCUAAACACUUCCACUGCCUCCAUGUCCUCCGCCCUGGGUUCUCCUAGAAGAUGACUGUAUCACAUGAUAAAGGUUAAUCUGCCAAGUACAAGUAGUGAAGCAUGUUUUCCGCUGAAUACUGCCACCUGGAGGACACACAGGUGAACAGCCAGAGGGAGCCGGCACAUCACCCAGCUCACAAUUCUGAACCCGGAGAAAGGUGUGGCUGGGGAGGGGACAUCUGAACACCCGUGCAGGCCCAGCGUUCAAAGACAGUACAUCUGCAGGGCACAGUUUAGGUUUUCUAAAUUCCCUCUCUCUGGCUGGCAAAAUUUACGCCACCAGACUCCACGGAUAUGAGUUUUAAAUAAGCAGAAAUAAUUUAUUGUAUUUAUGAUUUUUAUUUUCAGUCAAGUGUUUCAUUCCAAAAUUAAAAAUACAAAAUACAAAAUUUGGGGAGUGUUUUCCCAUCCAGUUCAGUGAGCAUAAUUAGUUCAUUUUAAGUAAUAUCUGGUUUACUGUAUAUCACAGAGAGUUAUGAGCGCCACCAUAAUAUUAAAUCAUUUUUUUACUUUAGUCAUGUUUGUGCCACUUUUUCCACAAAUCUAACAGCAGAAAAUCAACUUCAAACUUAAUAUAAAGAGUACUUUGUAAAACAGUCAAUAAAACAUCAUCUUUGUAAGCCUCCAUAAAAAAUAAAUGUAUACAACUUUCAAGCCUUUAUAAAAGGAACAAAAAAUAGCCUCUAGAAUUUUAAGGGAAUUUCUGAAGAGAUAUUUACAACAUAAGUCAAAAGUUAUUCCUUUCUCCAUAAGAACUUUAAACUAAACAAAGCAAAACCUGUUUUUCCUUGAAUUAAACACAGUUGAAAAUCUGGUUUUCCUCAAGAUGAUUUUAUUAGGUGUAUUAUAUAUCGGUUCAGCUGAGAACAUAUAUCGCUGUGCAAAACCACGUAAUCCUAACUAAGGAUGCCCUGAGUCUGCUGAACCCAAUGUAAUGAUAUACAUACACAUCUGUUUAGCAUGUGGAAGGUUAGUGGUUUGAUGUAGGAAAAAAAUUUAAUUCGGCCUGUUUACCUGUUACCAUGAGAAAAAAAAUAAAACAUACAAAUCUUCAUUGAAGGCAUUCAUGAUCUGUGCUGUGGUGCCCUCUACUGAACACAGACUUACAAAAAGUGUAUGUGUGUGUGUGUGUGUAAAACUAGCUGUAGUGUUUCCAAGGUACCCUUUUGCAAAAAAUUUUUUUGAUUUAAAUUCCUUAAAUUUUUAAGGAAUACAAAACAGUAAUAUAGAAGUACAUGUAGUUACAUGCAUGGGAUGAAUUCAGUCAAGAAGGAAAGCCCAGCUCCCAUUUGUGACAGCAGUCAAAUGUAAAAAAUUAGUAGGAUGCCAGAGUUUAUAAUUUGGUCUACAAUUUUUUUCACAACUAUUAGUAAAAGUGACUUACAAUUUAUAAUUAGCCCGGGUGGGGGGGAAGGGGUGGAAUCUAAAAGUUUCUGGCCAAGAUGGAAGAAAAAUGAAUAUGUUUGGAAAAUCUCACAAUCAUACUGACCAAAUUUAGCUAGCAUUUCCGAGUUCUUCUAAUUAUAAACCUUCCAGUUCCUGGGAUUAAUACAGUGCCUCCACCUUUCUUAUAAUUUCCUUGUCUAUAAAAUUGAGAUGAAACUUGACUCCUAAUGUUGUUGUUAAGUAUUGAGUUAAAACAUAAAAAGCUAAACAUAUAGCCAGUAUUCAAUAAAAUGGUACAUAAAUUA